AGAUGUUGGGGUGAUCUGGCUAUAGCAUCUGUCAUCUUAUUGACCACCAAGGUUGAUUGAGCUCAUCUGCUGGUUAGGGGGACAUCCUAUUCUCCCUCAGCACUCUGCAUAAGAUCCUCCCAAAGCUGCACACCUGGUCAAAUAGAAUGACCUUUUAGGAUAUAGAACUGUUUGUUCCUUGGUCAAAGGUAUAGGAAUAGAGUUUGGUGUUGGUGGCUCAUGCCUGUAUCCCUAGAUAAUCAAUGAGGAGGCUGAGAUAUGAGGAUUCUAGUU
rnacentral:sRNA from 1 species